UAGGCGUAAAUGAUGCGAGUUAAGUGUGGGGGCAUCUACGAGAUGGCCCUGUGCUGUAGGGUAGCCGUUAAACUCGCUGCCUGGGGAGUACGGUCGCAAGGCUGAAACUUAAAGGAUUGGCGGGGGAGCACCACAACGGGUGGAGCCUGCGGUUUAAUUGGAUUCAACGCCGGAAAUCUUACCGGGACCGACAGCAACAUGAAGGCCAAGCUGAAGACUUUGCCGGAUUAGCUGAGAGGUGGUGCAUGGCGUCAGUGACU
rnacentral:rRNA from 1 species